CGCUAUCACUCCUACGGGAGGCAGCAGUGGGGAAUAUUGGACAAUGGACCAAAAGUCUGAUCCAGCAAUUCUGUGUGUUUGAUGAAGGCCUUCGGGUUGUAAAGAACUUUCAGUGGGGAAGAAGCAAGUGACGGUACCCCACAGAAGAAGCGACGGCUAAAUACGUGCCAGCAGCCGCGGUAAUACGUAUGUCGCAAGCGUUAUCCGGAAUUAUUGGGCAUAAAGGGCGUCUAGGCGGUCUAAUAAGUCUGAUGUGAAAAUGCGGGGCUCAACUCCGUAUUGCGUUGGAAACUGUUAGACUAGAGUUUUGGAGAGGUAGGCGGAACUACAAGUGUAGAGGUGAAAUUCGUAGAGAUUUGUAGGAAUGCCGAUGACGAAGGUAGCUUACUGGACAAAUACUGACGCUGAAGCGCGAAAGCUAGGGGAGCAAACAGGAUUAGAUACCCUGGUAG
rnacentral:rRNA from 1 species